UUACUAAUCUUUUUUUUGUGUAUACUGAAAUGGUACAUAGUUUCUGGGUGGUUCAGAUAAGGCAAAAAGCAUCGUCGGUUGUUGAAAUGUUGGCCUCCGUUUCAUCUUGGGUGGUUUGUUCAGAGAUGCGGUAAAAGAUGACCCCGAACUCUAUUUUAGUUUGCAUCUGUGUCUGAGAGAUUUAUUUGAUAAGUUCAUUCUCCUAAGUUUGGUUGAUGACGAUGCACAUUUAGCCAGCCUGACGUAUCACAACUGAAUGACAGUGGAUUUUGUACUCCAUCAAUCCGGGAUACUCGGAGGAAGAUGUCGCGGCGUUAGUAGAUGAAAUCGUGCCGGGAGAGGACCCGGCACGGCUCGGUCUGCGUUCUACCGAUCGAGUGGAGGUGGUUCGCCGGUUUGUUCACCGGAGGACGGCGGCGACGGCGAUCCGGCCCUGGAAAGGGCCUUUGCCUAAGGUACGCAUACAACCUAUUACUUUGUCUGAUUAUUUUCCGCAAGAUGAUUGGAACAUAGUAGUUCGUAAGAAGAAGAAGAAGAGAGGGAGGCCGUAUCCAGCGCCUCCGCCGCCGGCGACCAGGGCGGCGGAUGGGAUCAGGGCGGCCAGGAACCUCCGUUUGAAUUCCAUACUCGGUACUGAGUGGGCCAGUCAGGAGUGGGCCGGUUCCCGCACCAUGCAUGGGCAUGAGGCCCAUCAUGGGGGUGUGCAGGACGGCCUGGAUCGAUCAGCCUCGACUGGGUAUGUGGCCCAGGAGAGCUGUGUCCUGCCUUCUCAGCCCGUCGAGAGCGCAUGCACGUACGACGGAUGCUUUGUGCCCAUCGUUCGUGUGCCGCCGUCUAGGGUUCGCAAGACAGGCAUGAAGGGUUUCCCGGCUUGUGGGGAUCGACGUGCGAGACGCGUCCAGCCCUUGCCGGCCAUGGCAGGUCGAGGGGAGGCUCCACCGCCAGCAAAGCGCUCCUCCUCAGGCGCUGCAGGUCGGGGUGGGGCGGCUCCCCCGCCGGCAGCGAACGCCGGACGGAGAGGUCUGGCGCAGAAUGGCCAAAGGCCGCCGGCGGGAGGUGUCGGCGCGGCUGCUGCCGCGGGACGAGGUGUGCUCCCCGGGGGUGCGCCGCCUCCGGGUCUGGCCCCUUCGCAGCCGGCUCUUGGGGAAGGAAGCUUGAAGCCGACGGCGCCGGGCUCGGUGCCCGCUACUAAUACUGCCGGGAGGGGGGUCGGGAGAGCACCAGUUGCGCCGCGCCUUGUUCCCCAGGCUGCGGGUAGAGGGGGACCUAGACCUCCCGCGCCGGGUACUUCUGGAGAUGGGCCGGCUGGCCGCGGCGCCGGACAUCGGCAUGUUGGAGGCGUAACGGCAACCACAGGGAAACCACCACCGCAUUAUGUUGCUAGGCCGGUGCAGAACCGGUCCACUCAGCCUCAGUCGAUCAAUAAAGAGCCUAAUGUUCCGCCCCGAGGCCAGUGGGGGGACGACGGGUAUGAUGCAUACGGUGAAGGACAGCACCGCGGCUCCUCGUCUACAGGAGGAGGGUAUGGUUACGCUUGGCAGAGCGACGGGUCGGCUGAGAGACCGUUUCGUGGGCCGGCCGGCGGUUUCGUUGAGGGGGCCUCCGGCCCGGAUCACCGUCAGAGAGGAGGUCAUCGUGGCAACCGUGGUGGUCAGAGCUGGGGUCGUGGGAGAUUUCGCCGCCCACCACCACCUCGGGUGUCUGUUCCUACAGAUGCUACGGAGGAGACUCAGCUUUCCUCAGAGCUUCCUCCACAGGCGAUGGAGGUGGUGAAGGAGUUGGCCAAUGUUGAGGUUACUGAGGCUGGGACGGUGGAUGAGGCUGCCGACAGGUCUGAUGCAGAGAGGGCGUCCAAGUAUGCCCGUAAGAAGGAGAGGAUGAUUUGCUAUCAUUGUGGCGAGAAGGGCCACUUCAUUGCUGAAUGUGUGGCCCAACUGUGUGAGUCAUGUGGCAAGCUUGCACAUGAGUCGGGAGAGUGCCCGAUUUUGCGUGACUUACCUCCGACUCUGAACAUCUAUGGAGUCUACUGUGCUGAGCUCAUGUUUUUCGAGUCCCCGGCGGCGAGAGAGGUCCCGGAGGAUAACCAGAGUAUGACUACUGGGAUUGUGAGAGCGACCCAGGGCGAGGUGACUGAGGCACAGAUUGUGAGGAGGUUGCAGGAGUUAGCUCCCGGUGAUUUUGUUUGGGAGUUGGUGCUCAUAGAAGACAGAGUUUUUAAGGUUGAUUUCCCAUCUGUCGAUGACUUGCAGAGAUUGUUGAGUUUUGGCUUGUGUAAAGUUCCCGGUACUAAGUGUAUUCUGGAGUUUAACGAGUGGAAACAGGUCGAGCCUAAAGGAAAACCGCUUACACAGGUAUGGCUGCGGUUUUUGGGGGCUCCAUCUAAGCCUCUGCAGGAUGCUCGUGUGGUGGCCAGUUUGGGCAUCAUGGUUAGAAAGACAGAAAAAGUGGACAUGGCGUUCACUCGUGCCAAUGGGAUUGCCCGGAUUCUUGUCAGCAUUCUGGAUAUUGAGUAUGUGCCUGAUAAGGUCAACUGGACUUAUAAGGGCGAGGUGUUCCCGCUAGAUAUUGAGUUCGAGGACACCGACUUAUUUGAUGAUGCGGUUAACGGCAAUGAUGUUGACAUGCACGACCGGGAGGGUGGUGCGGGGACUAAGGGGGCACCGUCAGAUGAGACCAUGCGAGAGGGAUCCAACGUUUCUCACGCUCAGUCGGCCGGGAAUGGAUCGGAGGCUCAGCCCACAGCCUCACAGGCGGUACCCAUGACUACUCUAUGUUUUGGGUCUUUCGAGCCAGCCUCGGCACCUCCCAGGCUUUGGAGUGACAGGGUGGAGUCGAGUGAUGAUCUUGAGCGCACGCUUCCUUCACUGGAGUUAGAGAUGGAGACUGGUGUGUCUGUUGCUCGUCAGGCGAGUUCUUUGGGAGGCGUUGCGGCGUGGUGGCACGGUGAUGGUUCUCUUGGACUGCAGACUCCCGCGGGCGCGACUUUGGUGUCGGCGAUCGCGGGGGCGAUGGGGUGUGGGGGAGGGGGUUCGGGACAUGGAGUCCUCUCUCCCCCCGUCCCGAGGCCGAUGCAGGUGUCAUCGGUGGCGUCGGCCCCGAGGGGGUCGGCUCCGGCUGCUGGAGGGACCUCGAGGCAGGCGACUUCGACUCCUUCUGCGACGGUGGUGGCAACCACUGUGGCUGCUGCUACGGGAGGGGGGACGCCAGGGCAGGAGGCCCGGUCUCCACCCUCUACUCCGAUGGUCAGGAGGACCACCUCACCGAUGCCUUUCCCGUCCGAGCUGCCGGUUGGGGCGGGAGCAGACCGCGGGCAGGAGGCCCCUGUCUUACGCUCCUCCCCACUGCCUGAUGUGGGGCACUCGUCCAAGGGGAUCGGGAGCCCGCAGACGCCUUCUCUAGUGACUUCGGCACCACCUGUCAGAGUUUCAGUGCCAGGUUAUACUAGGGAGGAGGUGAUCGCGUUUGGUGGGAUCCCGGACCCUAUAUCCGAGGGGAGACGGAUGAGUUCUCGCAUCCUCGACGUCCCGGAGGUGGACGAUAUGCAGCAGAGGUGCGCUAUGAGGGCGGCCAAGCUGCAGGAGGCUGCUUUUUCUUCUGGUAUGUCCGUCAACUUGUCUAAUUCCCUAUUGCAUUUUUCUAAUGAGGACAUUAUAAAUAAUGCAAACCAAUUAGGAGUUUCACUAGGUGCUACGGAUAGUGAAAUUACCAAUUCGGUGAAUGAUAUAUUAGACCUGGAGGCGGAACGUGCUUUAGAGACUAUUCGUAAUCUUGCAGCAGUUAAACCAAUGAAUGAUGAUGAGAUUAAUGCGUUAGGUGUUAGAGUGCUUGAUAGCCUGUGUGAGGAUCUAGCACCCACUAACCAUGACGCUGAGGAAGAUGAUGUACCCCUACAGAAUGACGCUAGAAAUAUUUGUGAACCCGGUCAUGAGGAACGGGUGACUGAGCUUAGUAAACCUAAGCGUAAGUGGAAACGGAAGAUUUAUCCCGAUUCCGCAGUUCGUAGGAGUGCUAGGAUUCGAACCACAAAAAAAUUCCAUGAUGAACUAUGAGAGGAAUAUUUUGGAAUAGCAGAGGUCUUAAGGACUUGGCUAAAAGAAGAUUCCUGGCUGAGUCAGCUCUAGAGCAGAAGCUAGAUUUUGUUGCUCUAUCUGAAACGGGUAGAGAUAACUUUGCACCGCAGUUUCUCUCCUCACUAGUUGGUGGUAUUGAUUUCGAUUGGCAUUGCCUACCUCCGCGAGGAAGAUCGGGGGGUAUCUUACUAGGUGUGAGAUGCGAUUCACUUGAAGUCCGUAGUGUAGUGAUGGGUGACUUCGCGGUAAAGUUUCCCGUUAGGUCUAAGACGGAUGGCUUUAACUGGGCUUUGGUGGCGGUAUAUGGUGCCGCGCAGCCCGAGUUUAAAGCGGAGUUUCUAGCAGACCUCGUUAGAAUUUGUGGGUCAGAACAACUACCGAUUUUAGUUGGAGGUGAUUUCAAUAUCAUCCGGAGGCGAGAGGAGAAGAACAAUGAUAACUUUGACGGCAGAUGGUCCUUCAUGUUCAACACCAUUAUUGAAAGUUUGGAUCUGAGAGAGAUAGAGCUCUCGGGCCGAAAGUUUACAUGGGCCAACGCUCUACCAAACCCAACCUACGAAAAACUUGAUCGGGUUCUUGCAAGCGUGGAGUGGGAACAAAAAUUCCCGUUGGUCACGGUGCAAGCUCUUUCGAGGGGAAUAUCUGAUCAUACCCCAUUGUUCGUGGACUCAGGGGAGCCGAACCACGUGGGUAACAAGAACACCUUCUCAUUUGAGACGUCAUGGUUCGAACGUGAGGGGUUCUUAGAUUUGAUAGCCAGGGAAUGGGGUAAAGAUGUUCGAGGCAAAACUCCUAUUGAGCGAUGGCAGAAUAAGAUUAGGAAUUUGAGAAGCUUCUUGCGGGGUUGGGCUAAGCACCUUAGCGGUGUGUAUAAGAUUGAAAAGGAUAGACUCCUUUCUCUUGUACAUGACUUGGACAUAAAAGCCGAGUCCAAUAGUUUAUUACCCGCAGAGCUUCAGGUUAAAAAUGAGGCGGAGCAGAGGUUAAAAGAACUGCUCCGCGAAGAAGAACUGAAGUGGGCUUUACGUGCUAAAGUACGUAGAGUGGUCCAGGGGGACGCGAAUACUCAGUUCUUUCAUUUAAUUGCUAAUGGCAAGCACAGAAAGAAGCGAAUCUUUCAGCUUGAGCAGGACGAGGGUACGAUUUUAGGUCAGGAUAACCUAAAAACGUACAUCACUGACUACUAUAAGCAGUUAUUUGGUCCACCGGAGGAUAAUACGGUGUCCCUCGAUGAGUCCAGAACUAAGGAUGUACCUCAGCUUUCGGCUGCUGAUAAUGAGCUUCUGGUUGCCCCAUUUUCGGAGAAGGAGGUUUUUGAUGCUAUUGCACAAAUGAAAAAUAAUAAGGCUCCCGGACCGGAUGGUUUCCCGGCCGAGUUCUAUAAGAAGUGCUGGCACAUUAUUAAGGGGGAUUUACUACCUAUGUUUCAGGAUUUAUUCUCUGGACAACUUCAACUAUUCCACUUGAAUUUUGGGACUAUCACACUACUGCCUAAGAAGACGGAUGCGGUCAGAAUUGAGCAAUUCAGGCCGAUCUGUCUCCUUAAUGUUAGUUUCAAAAUCUUCACCAAGGUCGGGACCAACAGGCUCACACAGAUUGCGCAUUCUGUGGUGCAACAGUCCCAAACUGCGUUCAUGCCAGAUAGAAACAUCCUAGAAGGGGUGGUAGUCCUGCAUGAAACGCUCCAUGAAAUCCACUCCAAAAAAUUAGAUGGAGUGAUUUUUAAAGUGGAUUUCGAGAAAGCGUAUGAUAAGGUAAAGUGGCCAUUUCUCCAACAAUCUUUGCGUAUGAAAGGGUUUGAUGAAGCCUGGCGCAGACAGGUACAGUCAUUUACGCAAAAAGGUAGUGUGGGAAUUAAAGUUAAUGAUGACAUAGGUCAUUACUUCCAGACACAUAAAGGCCUACGACAAGGAGACCCGAUGUCCCCUAUCUUGUUUAACAUUGUGGUAGAUAUGUUGGCAGUUCUGAUAGGAAGGGCUAAGGAUAAUGGUCAAGUAGGUUGAUUGGUGCCUCAUCUUGUUGAUGGAGGUAUCUCUAUCCUACAAUACGCUGAUGAUACAAUCAUCUUUAUGGAGCAUGACUUGGUUAAGGCAAGAAAUAUGAAGCUGGUUUUAUGCCUAUUUGAACAAUUGACCGGGUUAAAGAUAAACUUUCAUAAGAGCGAGCUGUUCUGUUUUGGUAGGGCCAAAGAUGAACAGGACGCUUAUAGGCAAUUGUUUGGAUGUGAGUUGGGAGAGCUACCUUUCUCAUACUUGGGGAUUCCUAUCCACCAUCGUAGGCUAACAAACAGAGAAUGGAAGUGCAUUGAGGACCGAUUUAAGAAGAAACUGAGCUGCUGGAAGGGCAAGCUCAUGUCAUAUGGAGGCCGGUUAAUCCUAAUUAACUCGGUACUCACAAGUUUGCCGAUGUUUCUUCUUUCGUUCUUUGAGGUACCAGUUGGUGUUAGGAAGAGACUGGACUUCUAUAGAUCGCGGUUCUUCUGGCAGGGUGAUGAGCUUAAAAGAAAAUAUAGGCUUGCUAAGUGGGAUAUCAUUUGUAGACCGAAGGACCAAGGGGGUCUAGGUAUUGAGAAUCUCGAAAUUAAGAAUAAAUGCCUUCUUAGCAAGUGGUUGUGGAAGCUUUCGUCGGAGACUGAUGCUAUGUGGGCACAGAUCCUUCGCGGCAAGUACCUCCAGUCAAAAACUUUGUCACAGGUAUCUGUAAGGCCGACUGACUCGCCUUUCUGGAAGGGUCUCAUGAAGGUCAAGCAGGCAUUGUUUAAUAGGACAAAGUUCGUUGUUGGAAACGGCACAAGUACACGUUUCUGGGAGGAUACUUGGCUCGGUGACACACCCUUGGCCAUCCAAUAUCCCUCUUUGUAUCGCAUUGUUCAACGAAUGGAGGUGGUCGUUGCUUCGGUCAUCCAAUCUACCUCCCUUAAUAUUCAAUUCAGACGAGUGCUAGCGGGCAAUCAUUGGGAAGAAUGGCUCCAUCUAGUUAGGAGACUGAUGGACAUCCAGCUUUCUCAACAACCCGAUGAAUUGCGCUGGAAGUUGACUAAGUCUGGAGUAUUCACAGUCAAAUCAAUGUAUAUUGAUGUUAUUAAUUCGAGCUCCAUUCCUACGUCCAAACAUGUUUGGGAUGUCAAAGUUCCUUUGAAAAUAAAAGUGUUUAUGUGGUUUGUCCAUAAACAAGUAAUUUUAACUAAGGAUAACUUGAUGAAGCGUAAUUGGACAGGACCUACUAGGUGUAGUUUCUGCGAUCGGGAUGAGACUAUUAAACACCUCUUUUUUGAUUGCCCGCUGGCCAAGGUACUCUGGCAGACGGUCCACAUUGCUUUCAAUAUCAAACCACCGAAUUCUGUUAAUGCUUUAUUUGGGACAUGGCUUAAUGGGAUUGAGCCUAACUUAGCGAGACAUAUUCGGGUUGGGGUUUGUGCUUUGCUGUGGACUAUCUGGAAUUGCAGAAACGAUCUAGUCUUUAACAGAAUAUCAUGUAUACAUUUUUUGCAGGUUUUAUUCCGGACUACGGCUCUGAUCCGUUCGUGGUCGCUACUCACCUAGACGGAGGCCAGGGAGCAUUUGGUUACUGGGUCUAUCCGUUGGGAGAUGGUAGCUCGGGUUAUCUUCAACCGGUUUGGAUGGCGGUCAUGUAAUAGGAUAGGCAUUUAGUAUUCCUACCUAGUUUACCCAGCGGGUUGUGGCAUCUUGAUGUGGCUAGUUGAUGUAUCUAGCUUCUUCGGGCUCUGUGUGAGCUUGUUCUGCUUUUUUCACUUAUGAGGACCUUUUGAACCAUGUUGGCACUACUUUAUUUUGUUAAUAAGAGGGCCGUAUGCAUCGUACUGAUGCAGAGCCCGGGGUUUCCUCCUUUUCGAAAAAAUCAACUAUGAGUUAUAGUUGGUCGUAGCUGGAUCGGAUUGUGUCCUAACUUCUGAUGAAUACCAUCAAUUCUGUUUUUUUUAACGUUUUUAUCAGCAAAUGAAUGCUAAACCACCGUUGCUGUUUCAGUCUUGAUGAUUAUGUUAUCUUCUGUGGCUGCUACCUGCUGAUGAGCUUCAUGUUAUGGUGUUAUAUAUAUCCAAACAAUUUGUUUCUCAUUACUUGCAGCUAUUUACCAUCCAAGUAGACAAUGUAACCCACCACUUGUUAUCAUAACCUCCUC
rnacentral:lncRNA from 1 species